rnacentral:rRNA from 1 species
GACGAACGCUGGCGGCGUGCCUAAUACAUGCAAGUCGAACGCAGUGGGGACGGGUGAGUAACACGUGGGUAACCUCCCAUCAGAGGGGAUAACACUUGGAAACAGGUGCUAAACCGAUACUGAUGGAUGAACCCGUGGUGAAUUAGCUAGUUGGUGAGGUAACGGCUCACCAAGGCCCAGAUGCAUAGGCGACCGGGGAGGGGGACCGUCCACACUGGGACUGAUACACGGCCCAGACUCCUACGGGAGGCAGCAGUAGGGAAUCGUCGGCAAUGGACGAAAGUCUGACCGAGCAACGCCGCGUGAGUGAGGAAGGUUUUCGGAUCGUAAAACUCUGUUGUUAGAGAAGCGGUAUCUAACCAGAAAGCCACGGCUAACUACGUGCCAGCAGCCGCGGUAAUUC